rnacentral:lncRNA from 1 species
AUGGCUCGAGAUCGAUUGUGAGCGUAAAAUACACGGGGUGGUCCUCGGCGAGCGUCGGGCUCCUCUGCGCAAUAUGGCGUUUUCCUCUUCGACGUUUCGAAGUCGACCUGUCUGUCCGUGUGAUAUAGAUAUACGUCACGUUGCAGAGGUUAAUCGUUCCUCGCACGACACGAGCACCUGGAACACGAGUAAUUCCCUCGAUGUGGACAAAUAGGGAGCGAACCUGUCGACGGUGGGGAAACCUAUCCUGUGCCAGCUACGGAAAUAGAGCAGGGGAGAUUCCCGCGCGGCGAAGGAACCUCUGGGACCUCCCGGGUUCAGAGGGGUUCGCGAGGGUGGCGAAGGAGUGAGGCGACUGUCAGCGGAGCUCAGAUUGUAUCGUCGCUCCCAGCGGAGAACUACGCCGGCCACUCUCUCGGAGCCCUUGACUUAUGCGAGUAAUUGCGAGUGCCUUUGGGACCUUGGGGGUGCCGUUCAAAAGUUGCAGCAUGGAAAUUGGGGUGGAAUUAAAGUAGCCCAACGGAUAUGGUACAGGUGUGUAUUUCCCAUUUCGCUGAUAAUUACACGGAUCAUCAGCUGUUCUUCCAUCCGGCUCGAUCUCUUAUCGCAUAUAAGUAAAUGUACAUCACAUAUCCAUUAAAUUAUCCGUAACUCUGAUAGAUAGUAGAAUAUCCGUCCCGCAAAAUGGUGUGAUUUUGAUUAACUUGAUUGACGUACAUGUAAAAUACAUCCUGCGUUGCGUUCAACUAAACAUAUGCAAUAUUCCAUGAUUAUAAUUAUUUCACUCUAUAGCGUGGAAUUGAAAUUGUACGUGGCAACGCUGCAACUUUACCGCAAAUUCAUUUUUACAAAUAUUUUUUUUUGUAAUAUUUAAUGUUAUACCCAUUAUACAGGUACUUGCCGCAGAAGUCUUUUGUUUCCACAUUAUAUACUCUAUACGAUUCGUAGGACAAUGAUAAAAAGAUGAAUAUUACACCGCAACAAUGAAAUUAAUUACUGCAAUUAAUAUUAAACUCUAUUGUAUUUGAGUGUACAGUAUUUUUCCAAUAUUAAUGCGACGUCUGUUUCAUAUUAUACCACGGAUGGAGUUCGUCGCUACAGCAGGUAUUUGAACAAGUGCGAGGGAAAAACAUACACUGCAUUCUUUUUCAAUUCACUGUUUGCGCUGAAUGAACGGAGUUCAGCAAAUCUAGACAAUUAGUAAAGACUUUCAAUAAUAAUUGAUCAAUAUGUGUUUAUUUUUUUCACUGUAGUAAGAAAUAAUGCUGCUGCUCACGCUGAUUCCACGUUCAUGUUUUCCAGCCAAUAAUGUCAGAAACAAGAGUUUCAAUAAUAAUAAUGAAAAUAACAGACCAAAAGGUAAAUAACAUUUCUGCGCUACUUCCGUCAACAACUCCACUACUUUGUAUGCUUUUUAGUUUUUAUGAGCACUAGUGCUUAUUUUUUUUUUAACAUAAAAUUGCUAAAAAAAUGUAAUACCAAAAUUUAGGGAUAGACAUUCAAAAAUAUAAACACGAGGUCGAAUCGAUGAGCAAGUUUUAAAGAUUUUGGCAAAAUUUAAAGUCGAUUGGAUAAAAAUUGACCGAGAAAUCUGCAUCGCCGGAUUGAAAACGUGAUUGUUCGCUACUUAUAUGCGCCAUGCCGCCAUUUUGACUUUAA